UACGAAGGGGGCUAGCGUUGUUCGGAUUUACUGGGCGUAAAGCGCACGUAGGCGGAUUGUUAAGUUGGAGGUGAAAUCCCGGAGCUCAACUCCGGAACUGCCUUUAAUACUGGCAAUCUCGAGUCCGGAAGAGGUAAGUGGAACUCCUAGUGUAGAGGUGGAAUUCGUAGAUAUUAGGAAGAACACCAGUGGCGAAGGCGACUUCCUGGCCUGUUCUUGACGCUGAGGCGCGAAAGCUAGGGGAGCAAACGGG
rnacentral:rRNA from 1 species